AUUGAACGCUGGCGGCAGGCCUAACACAUGCAAGUCGAGCGAGCGGCGGACGGGUGAGUAAUGUCUGGGAAACUGCCUGAAGGAGGGGGAUAACUACUGGAAACGGUAGCCAAUACCGCAUACCAUCAGAUGUGCCCAGAUGGGAUUAGCUAGUAGGUGGGGUAACGGCUCACCUAGGCGACGUUCCCUCGCUGGUCUGAGAGGAUGAUCCGCCACACUGGAACGGAGACACGGUCCAGACUCCUACGGGGGGCAGCAGUGGGGAAUAUUGCACAAUGGGCGCAAGCCUGAUGCAGCCAUGCCGCGUGUAUGAAGAAGGCCUUCGUGUUGUAAAGUACUUUCAGCGGGGAGGCGUUACCCGCAGAGGAAGCACCGGCUAACUCCGUGCCAGCAGCCGCGGUAAUAC
rnacentral:rRNA from 1 species